rnacentral:rRNA from 1 species
UACGGGGGGGGCAAGCGUUGUUCGGAAUUACUGGGCGUAAAGGGCUCGUAGGUGGCCAACUAAGUCAGACGUGAAAUCCCUCGGCUUAACCGGGGAACUGCGUCUGAUACUGGAUGGCUUGAGUUCGGGAGAGGGAUGCGGAGUUCCAGGUGUAGCGGUGAAAUGCGUAGAUAUCUGGAGGAACACCGGUGGCGAAGGCGGCAUCCUGGACCGAUACUGACGCUGAGGAGCGAAAGCCAGGGGAGCAAACGGGG